rnacentral:rRNA from 1 species
GAUGAACGCUGGCGGCGUGCCUAAUACAUGCAAGUCGAGCGAACAGACGAGGAGCUUGCUCCUCUGACGUUAGCGGCGGACGGGUGAGUAACACGUGGAUAACCUACCUAUAAGACUGGCAUAACUUCGGGAAACCGGAGCUAAUACCGGAUAAUAUAUUGAACCGCAUGGUUCAAUAGUGAAAGACGGUUUUGCUGUCACUUAUAGAUGGAUCCGCGCCGCAUUAGCUAGUUGGUAAGGUAACGGCUUACCAAGGCAACGAUGCGUAGCCGACCUGAGAGGGUGAUCGGCCACACUGGAACUGAGACACGGUCCAGACUCCUACGGGAGGCAGCAGUAGGGAAUCUUCCGCAAAGGGCGAAAGCCUGACGGAGCAACGCCGCGUGAGUGAUGAAGGUCUUCGGAUCGUAAAACUCUGUUAUUAGGGAAGAACAAAUGUGUAAGUAACUAUGCACGUCUUGACGGUACCUAAUCAGAAAGCCACGGCUAACUACGUG